rnacentral:rRNA from 1 species
UACGAAGGGAGCUAGCGUUGUUCGGAAUCACUGGGCGUAAAGCGCACGUAGGCGGAUGUGUCAGUCAGGGGUGAAAUCCCGGAGCUCAACUUCGGAACUGCCUUUGAUACAGCACGUCUUGAGUCCGAUAGAGGUGGGUGGAAUUCCUAGUGGUAGAGGUGAAAUUCGUAGAUAUUAGGAAGAACACCGGAUGGCGAAGGCGGCCCACUGGAUCGGUACUGACGCUGAGGUGCGAAAGCGUGGGG